rnacentral:rRNA from 1 species
GUGAACGCUGGCGGUAGGCCUAACACAUGCAAGUCGAACGGCAGCACAGUAAGAGCUUGCUCUUACGGGUGGCGAGUGGCGGACGGGUGAGGAAUACAUCGGAAUCUACUUUUUCGUGGGGGAUAACGUAGGGAAACUUACGCUAAUACCGCAUACGACCUACGGGUGGAAGCAGGGGAUCUUCGGACCUUGCGCGAUUGAAUGAGCCGAUGUCGGAUUAGCUAGUUGGCGGGGUAAAGGCCCACCAAGGCGACGAUCCGUAGCUGGUCUGAGAGGAUGAUCAGCCACACUGGAACUGAGACACGGUCCAGACUCCUACGGGAGGCAGCAGUGGGGAAUAUUGGACAAUGGGCGCAAGCCUGAUCCAGCCAUACCGCGUGGGUGAAGAAGGCCUUCGGGUUGUAAAGCCCUUUUGUUGGGAAAGAAAAGCAGCAGGUUAAUACCCCGCUGUUCUGACGGUACCCAAAGAAUAAGCACCGGCUAACUUCGUG